AUUGAACGCUGGCGGCAGGCCUAACACAUGCAAGUCGAACGGCAGCACAGAAGAGCUUGCUCUUUGGGUGGCGAGUGGCGGACGGGUGAGUAAUGUCUGGGAAACUGCCCGAUGGAGGGGGAUAACUACUGGAAACGGUAGCUAAUACCGCAUAACGUCGCGAGACCAAAGUGGGGGACCUUCGGGCCUCACACCAUCGGAUGUGCCCAGAUGGGAUUAGCUAGUAGGUGGGGUAAUGGCUCACCUAGGCGACGAUCCCUAGCUGGUCUGAGAGGAUGACCAGCCACACUGAAACUGAGACACGGUCCAGACGCCCACGGGAGGCAGCAGUGGGGAAUAUUGCACAAUGGGCGCAAGCCUGAUGCAGCCAUGCCGCGUGUAUGAAGAAGGCCUUCGGGUUGUAAAGUACUUUCAGCGGGGAGGAAGGCGGUGAGGUUAAUAACCUCGCCGAUUGACGUUACCCGCAGAAGAAGCACCGGCUAACUCCGUGCCAGCCGCCGCCGUAA
rnacentral:rRNA from 1 species